rnacentral:rRNA from 1 species
GACGAACGCUGGCGGCGUGCUUAACACAUGCAAGUCGAACGGAAAGUGCCCAGCUUGCUGGGUGACUCGAGUGGCGAACGGGUGAGCAACACGUGGGUGAUCUGCCCUGCACUUUGGGAUAAGCCUGGGAAACUGGGUCUAAUACCGAAUAUUCCUUGCUGGUCGCAUGGCCUGGUGGGGGAAAGCUUUUGCGGUGUGGGAUGGGCCCGCGGCCUAUCAGCUUGUUGGUGGGGUGAUGGCCUACCAAGGCGACGACGGGUAGCCGGCCUGAGAGGGUGUCCGGCCACACUGGGACUGAGAUACGGCCCAGACUCCUACGGGAGGCAGCAGUGGGGAAUAUUGCACAAUGGGCGCAAGCCUGAUGCAGCGACGCCGCGUGAGGGAUGACGGCCUUCGGGUUGUAAACCUCUUUCAAUAGGGACGAAGCGCAAGUGACGGUACCUAGAGAAGAAGCACCGGCCAACUACGUGCCAGCCGCCGCCGUAA